UGAGGAACAUGACCUUCGGCGGGGGAUAGCCGGCCCAACGGCCGGGUAAUACCGCGUACGACCCUCGGGGGGCAUCCCCUGAAGGUGAAAGCCGCAAGGCGCCGAUGGAGAACUUCGCGGCCUAUCAGCUAGUUGGUGGGGUCAUGGCCUAUCAAGGCGACGACGGGUAGCUGGUCCGAGAGGAUGACCAGCCACAUUGGGACUGAGACACGGCCCAGACUCCUACGGGGAGCAG
rnacentral:rRNA from 1 species